rnacentral:lncRNA from 1 species
AACAUUAUGUGAUUUGCUAUGAGAUCGUUAAGAAGAAUAAUAAAUAAUAUAGAAACUUGUAUCCUAGAUAGUAGUUUAGACUAAAACAUUUAUUGUAUUCCUGUCAUCAUUGUGACCAAACAAAACCAACUAUCAUGUCUGAUAAUCUUCUUAUUCCGAUUCACAUGGCUGUUCAGAUUGUUAAGUCGAAUAUGACUUCUUCCUCAAUUACGGACUCGCGUCUGUGCGACGGCCGCACAGGAAUGUUUGAUCCCUUUAAGGCGGGACUCCACCAAAAUGGACUAGCCCGGCGGCAUUUACGGCCUUGCCGCCGGCAUAAAAUGACGCGGCUUUCUGCGGCUUUGCCGCGGACUUAAAAUCGACUCCACCAAACUGGGCAGAUGUGUCGGCUUGUAGAGAGUUCUUGUUCUUCAUCCGAGAGUUUGACGACCACGAAAUUUUUUUGUUAGGGUAUAUGGCCCUAAAAAUUAUUACCAAGAAAAAAAAACAAGAGGAAGCACAGGUUUUGGGUACGGCCUAGUUUAAACAAGAAUCUUCAAAAAACUGAAAAUAAACUUUUAAGUGGUUUAAGAAGUGAUGAUUGUGGUUUAGUGCCUGGCCAUACUAUCAGAAGCUCUUUUCAAAAUUUUGUUAAAAUGAGUGCAACACAUUUUGAGGAACUAAUUUGCUUAAUUGGAUUAAAAAUCGCUACACAAAUUACAGAAAUGCUAUACCAGUUGAGGAUCGAUUGGCAGUAACAUUGCGAUUCCUAGGCACAGGCGAUUCAUAUGUUAGCCUAAGCUACACUUUUAAGAUAUCAAAGCAGUUAAUUAAAGUUAUUGUACCUGAGGUGUGCCAAUAAAAGAAGCUCUCAAGGAACAAAUAAAAGUACCAGCAACAAAAGAAGCUUGGCAGAAAAUUGCUGAUCAAUUUUUUAUAAAAUGGAAUGUUCCUAAUUGCAUAGGAGCGAUGGUUGCCAUCCGUGCACGUCGCACUUCAGUCACCAAUACAUAGCGGAACAGAUUUUUUUAACUACAAAUCUUUUUUUAGUAUUGUUUUGUUAGCAAUUGUCGAUGCCAAUUAUAACAUAAUAUAUGCUAAUGUCGGAAGCCAAGGUAGGAUAUCUGAAAACUCCCCCGUUUCAAUAAUUGUAGUUUUAAACAAAAAUUAGAAAGCAACGAGCUAAAUUUACCUGAUCCUCGCGCUCUACCUGGACGAGUACAACCUGUUCCUUACGUAAUACUUGCAGAUGAUGCUUUUCCAUUGGCCCAAAAUAUAAUUAAACCAUAUCCUGGCACACAUACAGAUGGUUCCAAAGAAAGAAUAUGUAAUUACAGAAUAAGUAGAGGAAGAAGAAUGUCAGAAAAUGUAUAUGGGGUCUUGGCUUCAGUUUUUAGAGUAUUUAGAAAACCAAUGUUACUUCAAGAAACCACUGCUACUGAAGUAACAUUGGCAUACUUGUAUUUACAUAAUUUUAUGAGACGCAACACAGAGACUCGAUCUCGUUAUAACCCACCAGGCACAUAUACGACAUAGAAGAUACAGAAACAGGGACAAUUCUACCAGGAUCGUGGAGAAUGGACAGUUUAACCAAUGACAUCAUUGUUGCCGCUUGCUAGAACUCCCCGAAAAUCUGCAAAUAUACCACAAAAAAUAGGAGAUGAAUUUUGCGAAUAUUUCGUUAACGAGGGUAAAGUGGAUUGGCAAGAUAGAUACGCAUAGCUUUUUUUUUAAUAUCCUAAUAUCAGAUAAAGUCGAGGUCCCCUCUUAUAGGUCUACCCUGUACUUAUGUUGGCAUAAUUAUCUUUUGUAUUCCGCAUUAAAAAAUCAAUAAAAGAUUCGUUAAA